AACGUAAAAACAUGUAGGGUUCUCUCUAGAGCCAAAAAAGUUACGAAAACACAAUGAUUCUUAUUUUUAGGUGAUUAUACACUAAAGAAAACAUGCUUAUUAAUAUUAUAUUCCAUUUCUGCUAAUAGAUCCCAAAAAAUGUGACACACUGUUAGCAAGUAAAAGACUUUGAAUGCAGGACUUUUACAAGCAACAGGUUAUUUUUCAUUCUUGAAUUACUCGAUUUACUUAAGUAAACUAACGUCUUCCAUCCCUGACUGUUUAGCAGUGCAACAGCAGCUCCUAAAAGAAUGAUGAGCUUGUGAUGACGCCAUUUCUCAACAUAAAAGUACGCAAUAACAAUAUCCCGGGAGACUAAGACAUAUUAAAACUCAAUAUUUGUCUCCUAAACAGCCAUUAAUUUUCUACGAGCUGCAUUUGAGAUGCUCGCCAGCUGUUUUCUUUAGGUAAACAAAUCCCUUCAGUUCCUGUAAACACAUCAAUGUUCGGCUACACGGGCACUUACGGCCCGCUGUGGGUCCGCAGGGACGUCUGUCAUGCUUUAUAAACCUACUUCAGAACCGGCUGCAAACAACAAACUGAUUUAGUUCAGAAGUUAGCAUGAGAGAGGCGCUGUGCUCUCACCUUCCCGGCGCUUCACUGUGAGAGAAGUUCAUUAAGAUUGUUCUCUUAAAAUGUCAGCGCCUUUCAUUAACCCCGGAGGCAACGAGGCCGCCACUGUUUUUAAUUAGCGCGUGUUUAAAGCAUGUUUGCCUUUUUCAAAGGAAGUGGCUGAAGGACACAAAGGGCACUCAACAGUCAGAUAUUAACACAGUUAAAAAGGCUAAUUAAAAUGCAGCUUAAUGAGAUCACUGCUACAGGCGUACAGUAUCUCUCCAUAUAUUCAUGUUGCUGCUCUGUAAAUUAGUUUGUCUCUGUCAGAGGAUUUAAGAUGCUGAGCGGAGGGAAAGUCAAAUUCAAUGUAAAAUCUCAAAGGACAGAAGUGCUGCAUAUUUCUCCAGUCAACCUCAGAAUAAAUGAAUCCAAAAUAAAAGAGUGGCAGAUUAAUAUUUGAUGCAUGAGGCAUUCAAAAUGCAGCGGCGUACAAAAGAGAAGAGAUGGCGGCCGCCCCGAGUCUGACAACAACCCCCUAAAAACAUUCAAAUUCAGGUGGCACAUUUAUCAGGACAGUAAACAUCUAUUGAAACUUUCUUAACUUUCUGUCUGUGGGUGAAAACACAACUCUACUAUCUCUCCAUAAUUUAUUUCUCCUCUCUGUCUCAAACUUUUUCCCAUCCGACAAAACAAAACCCACCGCGGCUCACAUUUCAGCUGUCAGGAAAUUCUAGGGAAGGAACGCUAACACUCCUUUAGCAGCUCAAAUAUUUACUUUAGUUUGAAGUGCAGGCAGACAGGAAGGAUGAGAUAUAAAGUGGAGCAGAGUUUGACAGAACAGGUGUGAGUUGAAUGAAUGUUAAAAUGAACUGCUGUCUCGUUUCAAUGGUAAAACCCACAUCUCCAUUCACUGCAAUGCUAACAGAGAUACUAACUGUAGACAGCUUUAUGGAGAUUCAUAGUUUUUUAUCUGUAUUAACAAGAAAUGUGUGGACUGUGUUUACUCCAGAUGUUUGGUGUUUUACAUUAAAUUAUAUUUAACCAUCAACAGAGCGUGAGUUUAACCUUGACCAAAUUAAGGUAAUCUAAUAUUAAAACAUUUCUGUUUUAGUGCACGUCCUGGUGACGGCUCGUAGUGACUGGUAGCUGCUAUAGCUGUGACUCUA